rnacentral:rRNA from 1 species
UACAGAGGGUGCGAGCGUUGUCCGGAAUCACUGGGCGUAAAGGGCGCGUAGGCGGCUUGAUAAGGUUGCGGUGAAAGCCCGGGGCUCAACCCCGGGUCGGCCGUGGCAACUGUCGAGCUGGAGCACUGUAGAGGCAGGUGGAAUUCCGGGUGUAGCGGUGGAAUGCGUAGAGAUCCGGAAGAAGACCGGUGGCGAAGGCGGUCUGCUAGGCAGUUUCUGACACUGAGGCGCGACAGCGUGGGGAGCAAACAGGG